GAGAAAGAUAAACUCGAUCUUAUAUUGAUAAAAUCAUGUUGAACUUAUAUGGUUCAACACAGAAACAAAAGCAAUGUUGGAAUACAGAAAAUAGAUAUAUGUAGUACUCAUACACGCUUAGGUCUCCCUUGAAUCAUUUCACUUUGGUUUCGAACCUUCCCUCCUCCAUGCUACUGAUUUUGUUUGAUAAAGCUAUUCGGUUUUUCUGAAGCUCAGUCGGGAGUUUAACGUCAGUUGCCAAACAAACCAUUUCAAGAAACCUUAUCAAAUACCAAGUAAUAUCGAUUUGCCACCAUUCGAAACCAUGUCGAGCUGAGUACUCAAAAGCAUGGUGAUUAUUAUGCCAACCUUCUCCAUGAGCUAGCAAUCCAAACAACCUAAACCACACAAUUCAUAAUUAGAUUUCAUUACAUGUAGAGAAAUAGAAACUAUAUAUAUACACUUUGUAAUCAUAUCAAGUGCGUAUACCAGUUGUUUUUGGACAAACCAGUAUCCCAUACUUGGUUUCGCCAUAUGUGGCAGAUCGAAUUUAUCGAAAGUGUUAUAUGGAGAACAAAUUUUGUUCUCACAGCCUACAAAUAAUCAAAAGAAUUAAACAUAGUUACGGAUUUGUUAAUAGAAAGGACGAUGCAUUUAGAUAUUAGCAAAUGUAUAUAAGAGAAGUUUAAUUACCAGUGCCCAAACUUAAUUAGGUAUUCCUCCUAUGCGAUAGAACACAACUCCACAAGCAAUACAGUGAAAAGGGUAAGUGUAAUGAAGAAACCUAUAGAAGCUUUGUUUCUUCAAAUCUCCAACAUUGUAUAGUUUUCCAUCAUACUGCACAAUUUCAAAUUUAAUUAACAAUAAGUACGUGUUAAUUCAACAAAAAAAUUAUGCAUGUAAUUAAUCAAGUGAGGAGAACAUGAGAUUUCUACGUACACUCCCAAAACGUUUACGAAAAUCAAAAAUCCCGCCAAUAUGACUAAACCAGAAACCCUUAAGAGGAGUAUGAGGGUCACUCGGCGUGUCUGUAAACUGGUGAUGACUCCUGUGCGAGCUAACCCAUUCUAAUGGACUUCCCUGUAAUAUAAACACCAAAAACCAACUUACAAAACUUUGUAAAUGAAGAUUGUAGUAACUAAAAGUGAAAAAGAAUGAAAGCUAGAGAAUAUAUGAUGAACCUGAAGUNAAUGAACGGCACAAUAGGNNNNNNNNNNNNNNNNNNNNCUACUACUCUCUACUCUCUCUCUCUCUCUCUCUCUCUCUCUCUCUCUCUCUCUCUCUCUCUCUCUCUCUCUCUCUCUCUCUCUCUCUCUCUCUCUCUCUCUAACUCAAACAAUUUGAAUACCUUUGUCUCGUCGAUCUCUCUCUCUCUCUCUCAUCUCAUUGAUAUGUCAUUUUCUUAUCAAAAUUGAUCUCGUUGCAAGAAACUAAUUCCUUUUGUAUGCUCUGUCUUCUCACUCCUCUCACAUAGUAUGUGAAUAUUCUAAUUCAAUUAAGUUCAAAGUCUACUAAUAUAUGAGUUAAGUCUACCAGUAACAUGAGCAAACUGACAUACAAAAAUAGACUUUCUGGAAAAUUAUUCUUCAUAAGAUGCAAAGUCUAGCUACUAGUAACAUGAAUUAAGUCUACCAGUAACAUGAGCUAACUAGCAUACAAAAAUAGACUUUCUGAAAAAUUGUUCACUCCUAAUGCUGGUCACUAGUCAUUAGUCACCUUAUUGACUACGUUGUCUAACUUGUUUUCUUUUCUGUCUACGUUUUGCACUAUUCACUCAAUAGCAACAUACACGGCUUAAAACAGACGAAAUACACGCUCAUGGUAACGUUUAGUGAAUUUUCAAACAUUGACUAUAUGCAGUUGAUGUGCUCAUAUUAUCUUAUAUUUCUAAGCGUCUUAUGCUUGAGAUUUGUGUUUAGUUCUCUUCUUUAUGAAUUAUUUACGUUAUUUUAGUGUUCUUGUAGGUUUGUGUCGUAUGGAGAAGAAAAUGAGCUAAAAUGCGCAAAUAAGGAUUCAAAGGCCACUGCAAUCCUAAGUCUCAAAAUCUGCAUGUGCAGAACAUCCAAACUUCUCUGAAUUACCGGGAAUUACUCAGAUCAAAUCAGACUAUGUGCCUUAUAUUAUUGGAAAACUACAUAUGUCUACUUUCUGUAGAAGUUUACGGAUCUCAAUUUCGAUACUUCUAGACCGAGUUAUGAUAGUUUGAAUGAAGAUAGGUCAAAUCAGAAAAUGUGCUCGGAUUUGCAAGCAUUUGUGGAGAACUCAAGUUCCAUGGCACAAGAUCAUCAACUCUAAUGCUUCAAGGGACAAUAAUGCAGAUGAGGAUUCAAGGAGUAAAUGUAUUCUUAGUUCUACAAUAGAUAUCUCAAGGUUUUCUCAUUCCAUAUCAAGAAAGGAGUCUGAAUCCAAGUCUUACAAAGAAACUUGAAGCCAAAGAUGAGUAGGAAAUCUCCCCUAUAUAAAGAGCACGAAUUUCAUAGAGAAGGGGCUUCCGGAGACGUGACAUAUUUGGAAGCUGUCAUCAUCACCAACCUUUCAUUCUUUUUCCCUUUUAGUCUUUUUAUGUUUUUCAUUGUUAUCAUCGUGUUUGUUAUGACUCUUAGUAACUAAAUCUUUUGUUAGGGUCAUAAUGAAUCCUUAGCAUGACUAUUUGAUGUUUUUAGUUGGAUGAUUACUUAUUUAUUGGAUUGAUGUUGAGUUUUUAAUCUCUAUAAGAAUUGUUGCUUAUUUCAAAAUACUAGAGACUCGCGACCUUUAGGGUUUUGUUUUAAGCUAUAUGAUGCAAGAGUAGGUAGAUGCCCAUGCUGAAUCUUGAAUGCUUCUUGUGAUUAAAAACCAUAGAUUGAUAAGAUAGAUGCCAUGUUUUAUUGGUUUGUGUGAGUCCUUUUGUUCUCAUCGAACUUCAUUGACCCUUAGAGAUUAGAUGCCAUACUUCUAAGAAUUGUUGGAUACUAUACUCUGUUAUAAGAUAGUAUUUAUGCUUUGGAGAACUUAUGUUUAUAAGUACUCUGCCAUAAGACUUAUAUGACGAAUUUUUCAACACCGGUUUAGUAGUUAGUAAUCGGAAGACUAGGAACUCGAAUAAGAUUGUGACGGUGAAGUUAGAAGCCCUAGCAUUCAUCCAUCAUUGUUUUACAACUUUUCAAAACAUCUUCUCAAUUAUCUUGUGUGACAUUCUCAAUUUGCUUGUUUUACUCUUUUCUUAUUGUUUACAAAAAUCACAAAAAUAUCUUCUUGUUUUCUUGUUAGUCGUUAGAGUAAUUUGGUCAUUAGUUAGAGUUGAAAGUUAGUUAUCUAUCCCUAGUUGGAACGACCUCGUAUUUGCAUAUAAGCUAUACUACAAACGAUUCGUGCACUUGCGAAGUUUUUAAAAUUUGACAACAGCAGUGUUCUAAAACAAGGUUGCCUAGGCGGCUUUUAGACGUUUUAAGUAUGAGCUUCAUCCUGAAAGGACCAGUGAAUUUUCAAACCUUACUUGUACCAGGUUUUAAAUUGUAUAGUUUGUCGAUUCACCAUUUUAAAAUAACUUAAAGCUGGCAAAAAAACUAGCUAGAUGUGUUGGAAACUUUAAAUUGAGUAUUCUCAUGCUCGAUCCAUAAUUUUUAAACACUAGUAGUCGAAUUUCUUCUCAAUCCUCCGAUCUCCUUGAUUACACCUUGGACAAAGUUGGAUGACAUCUUUUACAUAGUAUCGACAUGGCUUGUACACCGCAAAUUGAAUAAUAUAUUUAUGUAUUUUUAAUACAUAAAAAAUAUACUAAAAUAUGAAAUAAGUUCAUUACAUUGCCAAAAUUAUGUUCUAAAUUCAAUUUUUUUUUUGUCUAAAUUCAACACAUUGCAUAAACAUAUUAAAAUAACAUUAAAGAGAAUUAAAUGGAAGUUAUUAAAGAGAAUCAAAUGACUAGUUCCGAUAUAGGUUGUAAAAAAAUUAGGCAUCAACUUAGUAACACAACAACCCUCUAACACGUACCUAAUAGACAAGAAAAUUUCAAUCAUUCCAUAAUUCAUCUAAACCUCUCUUUAUAAACUGUUAUAAACAUGAACGGUUCGAGUUCGACAAAAUUAUGUUCAUCCAUUGGUUUAAUCGAAUUUGAGUGUCUUAAUGAUAACCAAAUUAGCUGAAAUUUUACAAAGAUGAUCUAUACAUUAGUAUCUAAAUAUUAGACGGUGGAGAUGUGAAAAUUCGAUUGAAAAGUGAGUGUAAAGCGGAAAUCCGCACCGUAAAAAUAAAUAAAUACCUCCUUAGCCAAGAAAGCUUGUAUAUAUAUAUUAAAAAUUGAUGACGUGGCUUGUCAGAGGUUGAGAUGGCAUGUCGGUCAACGUGUCGGAAAAGUCAACAUUUUCCGACAUGUGUCAGAGGUGUGUCGUUGUGUCGGACACUCCGACAGUCCAGGGGUGUGAAGCGUCCGUGCAACAUAGCUUUUAACUAUGAUUUUCAUAUCUAAAGUUGUCCUACGACUCUAGGAGGUUCUCUUUGUAAUUUAUAUGGUAUUUUUCUUAUAUAUUAACUGAAAAUAAUUUAUUUAAAGAAAAAUUAUUUUACUAGUAGAAUGUAACAAUAAAAUCAAUGUUAUACCAUCAUAUAUAUAUAUAUAUAUAUGUGAACCUAGCUUCUAGUGUCGGAUAAGGGAGCUAUGAACUCUCCAGUACGUAUGAGACUGAAAAAUUGGUCAUAGCGAUCAUGGAGACUCUAAAACCGACACAAUGCCAAUAAAGAUGGUAGAAUAACGCCGGUAUACCAAACGGCUAAUGGCUACAAACCCGCGAAGGAUGUACAUGCAUGUGCACAAAUAUUCAACUCCCCCUCUUGAUGAGUGAAUACACGUGAUUAUUUAAGUAAAAUAAGACAUUAUUAAUUAUCACCGGUGCAUUAUGAUUAACUUUCUACAGAGUACAUGAUGUUGAUGAGUUUCUAUUGGAUUCUUGUAUCAUUGAAGUGCGGAGUUCAGCUAGUCAUUCAUUUUUGACAACACAAAUCGAUACAUUUCUAGCAUAAGAAACUUAAUAUAUAGCUAGUUAUUGCGGACUGGGGCUAUCAGGCUUUGAGCAAUAAUAACGUACAUGUGGUUGCGUGCAUGGUCACAGAGUAAAUUAGGUGACUAUCUACCACGAUAUUUAUUUUGGUUCUUGAUUUGGUAUGGUAUGUCUGAUGGGUCCGAAGGACACAGAAGAAUGAAGAUACGGAGGAGUGAUACAACCCUUAAGCAGCGGUAACUCUAGAUUACUUAGAAGAUGACUGGUUACUAGGUAGCUGGAAUUGACUUGAAUGAGUUUGAUCAGAAAANNNNNNNNNNNNNNNNNNNNGAGAAAGAUAAACUCGAUCUUAUAUUGAUAAAAAAUCAUGUUGAACUUAUUUCACUUUGGUUCAACACAGAAACAAAAGCAAUGUUGUAAUACAGGAAAUAGAUAUAUGUAGUACUCGUACACGCUUAGGUCUCCCUUGAAUCAUUUGACUUUGGUUUCGAACCUUCCCUCCUGCUCCAUGCUACUGACUUUGUUUGAUAAAGCUUUUCGGUUUUUCUGAAGCUCAGUCGGGAGCUUAACGUCAGUUGCCAAACCAACCAU
rnacentral:lncRNA from 1 species